CCUACGGGGGCAGCAGUGGGGAAUAUUGGACAAUGGGCGAAAGCCUGAUCCAGCCAUGCCGCGUGUGUGAAGAAGGCCUUCGGGUUGUAAAGCACUUUCAGUGGGGAAGAAAGCCUUGGGGCUAAUACCCUCGAGGAAGGACAUCACCCACAGAAGAAGCACCGGCUAACUCCGUGCCAGCAGCCGCGGUAAUACGGAGGGUGCGAGCGUUAAUCGGAAUUACUGGGCGUAAAGCGCGCGUAGGCGGUCUGAUAAGCCGGUUGUGAAAGCCCCGGGCUCAACCUGGGAACGGCAUCCGGAACUGUCAGGCUAGAGUGCAGGAGAGGAAGGUAGAAUUCCCGGUGUAGCGGUGAAAUGCGUAGAGAUCGGGAGGAAUACCAGUGGCGAAGGCGGCCUUCUGGACUGACACUGACGCUGAGGUGCGAAAGCGUGGGUAGCAAACAGGAUUAGAUCCCCGAGUAGUC
rnacentral:rRNA from 1 species